AGAGACGCGGUAAGGGGGCGGGGCCAAGGUCCCGGCGCUCGGCGUUCCAGAGGGUGGGGAGGGGGCAAGUGUCAGUCAGGACGGGAGUCCGGCGGGUUACCGCUGAGACCUCGGUGGCAGACAGGGGGUCCGGGCCGCUGCGUGUUGUCCACCCAAGAUGGAGUUCCUCCUGGGGAACCCGUUCAGCACCCCGGUGGGGCAGUGCCUCGAAAAGGCAACAGAUGGCUCCCUGCAAAGUGAGGAUUGGACAUUGAAUAUGGAGAUCUGUGACAUCAUCAAUGAGACGGAGGAAGGGCCAAAGGAUGCCAUUCGAGCCCUGAAGAAGCGACUCAAUGGGAACCGGAACUACAGAGAGGUGAUGCUGGCAUUAACAGUGCUGGAGACAUGUGUGAAGAACUGUGGCCACCGCUUCCACAUCCUUGUGGCCAACCGAGAUUUCAUCGACAGUGUUCUGGUGAAAAUUAUCUCUCCCAAGAACAACCCUCCCACCAUUGUACAGGACAAAGUGCUUGCUCUGAUCCAGGCAUGGGCUGACGCCUUUCGAAGCAGUCCUGAUCUCACUGGCGUUGUGCACAUAUAUGAGGAGCUGAAGAGGAAAGGGGUUGAAUUUCCCAUGGCAGACUUGGACGCUCUGUCUCCCAUACACACACCACAGCGGAGUGUCCCUGAAGUGGAUCCAGCCGCCACCAUGCCCAGGUCCCAAUCCCAGCAGAGGACAAGUGCUGGUUCCUAUUCCUCGCCGCCUCCUGCUCCCUACUCCGCACCGCAGGCCCCGGCUCUGAGUGUGACUGGCCCCAUCACAGCCAAUUCAGAACAGAUUGCCAGGCUGCGGAGUGAACUGGACGUCGUCCGAGGAAACACAAAAGUCAUGUCUGAGAUGUUAACAGAAAUGGUCCCUGGACAGGAGGAUUCAUCUGAUCUGGAGUUGCUGCAGGAGCUGAACAGGACCUGCCGGGCCAUGCAGCAGCGCAUCGUGGAGCUCAUCUCCCGCGUGUCCAACGAGGAGGUCACCGAGGAGCUGCUGCAUGUGAACGACGACCUCAACAAUGUCUUCCUUCGAUAUGAGAGGUUCGAACGAUACAGGUCUGGCCGAUCGGUUCAAAAUGCCAGUAAUGGGGUACUGAAUGAAGUGACUGAAGACAACUUAAUAGACCUGGGGCCAGGGUCUCCAGCCGUGGUGAGCCCGAUGGUGGGGAACACAGCGCCCCCAUCUUCCCUCUCCUCCCAGCUUGCAGGCUUGGACUUGGGGACAGAGAGCGUCAGUGGCACCCUCAGUUCACUCCAGCAAUGUAAUCCCCGUGACAGCUUUGACAUGUUUGCCCAGACGAGAGGAAACUCCUUGGCUGAGCAGCGCAAGACGGUAACCUAUGAGGAUCCUCAGGCUGUCGGAGGACUUGCUUCUGCCCUAGACAGUCGAAAACAGAGCUCAGAAGGGAUCCCCGUUGCGCAGCCCUCUGUCAUGGACGACAUUGAGGUGUGGCUCAGGACCGACCUGGUGAGACUCGACUUUUCUACUUCAUGUGUGGGGUGUGGAGCGGCAGAGGCUCUUCUGAGGACAGGCCUUGGGGGAGCACCAGCAGGGGCUCCACCUCUGUCUGGGUCAGUGGAGAAGGGAGGUCUGGGCACGCUCCAUAGCUGCUCCUCCUCCCCGACAUCAGCCCAUAGCUGUGGAUGCUGCGGUGGCCUCCAGGCCUGCGGAGGCCAGCUGUGCUGGGGCAAGGCCCUGGGCACCAACUCCUUUACCCACACAGUCCUAGCCUUAGCCGGCUCCAAAACAUACACUUGCCUUCCCCCCAGUUUCUUUUCCAUUUAAGAUGUGUGUGCGUGCUUUGGUUUUUGGGGGGAGGGAGUGUGGGGGGAGCAUGUUUUGUUUUGUUUUUUGUUUUCAUUUCUUUUUUUUUUAAUUGUGAAGUAUACACACAGUGCUUUUGUUUUUAAUUCGCUGUCAUCCCCCUCCUCUCUUCCUGAUUUUUGAUUUAAAAGAGCCCCUGCCCCAAAGACCCAUUGUCUCCAUCCUAGAGAUAGGGCUAGAAGAUGAGGAUACUAUGCAUCUGAAAAUGGCAACAGGUCCCAAGAAAGGAGAGCUGCAGUGGCUGCCCGUGAUAACUGCUGGCCCUCCCUCUGUUCUUCACAAAGCACUUUCACUCUCAGCAGCCCAGCAGGGGGUCAGGGUGGCAGGUGAAGAAGUGCACUCUGGGAAAUGGCUUGCCCAGAGUCAUGGGGUAGUUGGAUUCUCCCCCAGAGCUGGAGAUACCUCAUCUCCCUCCUAGCUGCCUCCUCUGCAGGGGGCCUUGUCCCCAGGCAGAAGAGCCUGUUGAGUUCUUUAACCACAGGGUCAGCCUGGCUGUCUUUGGGCUGGUGACCUGGCCACCUCCCACACUAGGACAGCAGGCCUCAGGUUGGGGCCUCUGGCUGCUCUGGGCCUCCUCCCCAGAAGGUCAGGCUUUCCAAACACAUGCCUUGCCAAAGAAGGCAGCUGCCUGGGUGUCAGGGAAGAAGAACACACCCCAGGACAUCUUCCCAAGGGGAUGCCUCGGAAAGAAAUUGCUUCUCUCGCAGAAGCAAGGCAGGAAGGACCAAGGUCCUUAAUUUCUAAGGGGGACCCCAGGGUCCAGACAGGGAAGGGAUGUGUCCAGUAAGGCUACAUAGCAGGUCAGUGGUAGAGCCAGGAAGGAACCCGGGUCUCCUAGCCCAGCCCAGGGCUUUGUCACUUCCCCAUCCUGCCCCUUCCCAAUGAGGCCCUGCACAUGCUGCUCUUCCCCAGUCCCCAGGGAACCCCGUGAACUCAAGACACUACUGUGUUCUCCAAACAAAAUCAAAUCUGAUGCACUUUAAUUUUUGAGUGCACAGAACUUCCAUGGCUCCUUCAGGAGCCAGCAGCAGGUGAUAUAAUCUGGGCCACAGGAGGAGGCUGGUGCAGCUCCCAGGAGGCGGCAGGACAUGGCUUCUGGAGGCACAGCCUCCACUGCCAAAGUACCUACUGAGUGACAGGCCCUGUGCUGUGGGCUUUGUGGCCCUGAGCCAUCCAGGCCUCGUGCGGUUUCCAGCUAUUGGUGUGAACAGCCUCUUCCCAGAAACCCUGUGGCUGGCAGCGAGUGGGUGUUGUGUUGGGCACACGUGACCCUGUGUGUGCUCAGGGUGUGCUCAGGCUACUGCUCUGUAGCUCAGGCUACACCCCUGUGGCUACUGCUCUGUGCCUCUCCCUAGAGCCUCAAGAGUGCUGAAGGUAGGGUCCUGCCCUCCUCAGCCCAGGCUGGAGAACCAGCCUGCACCAUUUUUGGAGUUUUCUCUCCAGCCCUUCUGGAGGAUCAAAACCUAAAACAUAUUUGAAUUUUUUUGCUUUUGUUUUUUGAAACAAGGCUUCUCUUUCUUCAAUAGGAAGAACAGUAUUUUACUAUUACAGAAAUCUGGAAACAGGAGAAAUUAGGAAGUUUUGUUUGGGCUGCCCUGGGUAGUGCUGCCCUAGGGUGGCCAUGGGCAGACAGAGGUGGCUGGGCGGGCAGUGCUUGGACCACUGCCCUAAUUUCAUUCUCUCUGCUCCUCCCACAGAAGGGCGAUGACCUGGAGGAGGGUGUCACAAGUGAAGAGUUUGAUAAAUUCCUUGAAGAAAGAGCCAAAGCUGCUGAAAUGGUUCCUGACCUCCCCUCGCCCCCCAUGGAGGCUCCUGCCCCAGCCUCAAACCCUUCUGGCCGGAAGAAGCCAGAGCGGUCAGAGGAUGCCCUCUUCGCCCUGUGAGCGGCUUUGUGGUUUGCCUCCCCAGAUGGCGGGUCCCCACUCGCACCCCAUGGACACCAGGCACUGGCCACUCCUGCAUCCCCAGCUCCACACGGCCUGCACACCUGUGUCUCCAUGGAAAUGCCACCGUGUCUGCUCCCGGGCUUCCCACUAGUCAGGACCAGCUUUAGCCACCUUCUUUUCUCUGAGUGGUGGGACAGCUGCAGCCAGAGACUCCUUUCCCUCCCACUACGGGCCCCUCUGCCCAUGUUUCCUCUAAGGAAGAGUGGGCAGAGUGGCCCAGCCCCAGGCAGUGCUUCCUGAGCAGACCACCCGGACUGUCUUUCCUCCACCCACCCACGGAGAAGGAGCAGGCCUGGCCCUGCCCUGUGCUCACCUCUGCCUGGCUCAGCAACCUUCUCAGGCAUUCUGCCCACCUGGGCACCUCUCUCCCCAAAGGGGCUUUGUGGCAUCUCUGGAAGAGCAGGGUGCGCUGCACCCACCUGGGGCCUGGUCUCCCUCCUUGGACUUGUCACUUUGUGACGUUUGGCUUGUCGGCACUUGAGAAGGCUCUGCUGGGUGUCCACGGAGGGUCUCUCACCUUGACCCUCUCUCCAUCACUCAGCUGCCAGCGCAGGCUUCACACCCGAGCUGGCUCAGCAGCUGAGCCUGGCACCAAGGGGCCCUGCAGGCUCCCAGGGCAGGGAGAGGGCCAAGGACAAUUGGGAGGGCAGCAGGCAGCCCGCAGAUGGUGGCCAUGUGGCACGCUGCUGAGACAACACUACCAAUAAACCAAACUGCCGUGCACACACUGCAGGCUCACACCCGCACACCUGGCCCUGGCUUGUGGAGGGGCUUGCAUUGGAGGCAUUGCUCUGGCUUGCCUGGGGAAGUGUCGCAGGUGUGCACAUGGGCCACACUCAAGGCUGUGGCCUGGCCUAUCGUAGCCUCACACCUCUGCCUCCAGAGCCAGCAGUAAAGAACUUUGCAGCACGCUUGGAGGUUCCCAAUGACUGAGAGGCCUGAGCAGCACUAAGGCCCCCGCACUGCUCUCUGGCAUCGGCCUUGGCCUGCUUGCACAGACUGUCCUGACAGCCUGGCCUCCUCCCACCUCAGAGGUUCUCUGGCCACCAAUUUAUACUGUCUCCCCAAGCUGAUCCUGAAGGCAGACAGAGCAGCUAGGGGCUGGUAACAUAUACUCCCAUCCUGUGUCCUCGCUGGUGUGUCUCCUGGCCAUGGGCAAGGGACUCAUGGGUUAUCCCAGGUGCUGGUCCAACCAGACACCUCCCCCACACCUCUCAGCAAGCUGCUGUUGCUCAGAAGAAGGAGAAUGCUGCAGCUGUACACACCCCCGUGCGUCUUGGGCCCAGCUCACUGGGUCAGUCUGUUUCUGUCCCCUCCAGCAUGCACUGCCUAGGUCAGCACAGGUUCCUGGCCCAUGGUGUAGUUAGCCCUUCCCAUCUGGCAGGAUGGCCCAGACCACCAGCCAAGCAGGGAAAGGGGGCUGGGCUUGACAGGAGAAGGGACCAGUGACACGGUCUUUGGGGAGCAUUCAGGAUGGCGACUUCAGCUGGGAGCCAUGCUGAGCACCAACAGGAACUGUUCAGUGAAGAGCAAGUGCUGCCCGACCCAGGACCCCGUGCCAGGCUAGCAGCCCUCCAGCUUCCUCCUGAGAGGAGACCUCGGUCUGGCUGAGGGUGGGACUAGCGGGGAUGUCACACUCCAGUUCCUCAGGUUCACCCAGGGAGCUCCUCCAUGGAGCCUGGCCAGCCUGAUUCUAGCCCUGUCCUCUCUGGCAGUACGUGCCACACCUGGCCUCUCUGCUCCCUGACGCUUGACGAGCCCCUGCCUGUCUCCUCAAUGUUUCUCAGAGACAGACCUCCCUGAGGCCAGCUUGAAUGUCAAGACUUCUGAAGUCAGCUGGCUUCACUUGAGCUGCAGAAAAGGUGGCUGGGAUGGCCCAGGUGCACCCAGAGGCCCCAGCCCUUUGGCUGCCUUUGGGUUGUGACUUGGGUUGUCUCUGAGGCCCUGCCAGAGCUGGGCCUGCGGGUGGUGGGCGGCUGGACCUCGGGCAGUCAGCGCUGUGCAGCCUCAGCACUGUAGCCCAGACCCAGUGUCCUCGGAGGGAAGAGCCAGCAUCCCUGUCCCAUGGAACGGGGAGUCCCGGAAGGUCAGGAGCCUGGAGGCUCUGAAAGGAGCAGGGCUUCCAUAGUGCUUGAAGCUGGGAUAGGUGCCCUCCUGGGGAGCCCCCAGCAAAGCUGUUUUUCAUACCCACGCCCAGAGCUGCCCCACCCCAGUUCCGGCUCCCGCUCUGGCUCCAGUGCCAGCUGGUUGCCAGCCAUGAUUGGAGAGGCCUGGCUGUCCCAGGGGCAGCAGGGAGUGGUGGACCUGUAUGGGCUGGCAGGAGGCCAUUGGCCAUGCUGACAAGUAUCACCUGCCUUCCUGGCCUGGAGCCACCCCUCGGGUGGCUUUCCAGUGCCUACUUGCACCUCCUAUCCAGAGGUAGCCUUCCCCACCUGUAGGCAGAGGGAGCUCUUGCUUGAGACCUUCACAGGAAGCAAGUACAGCCCCAGUGACCUAGAGGGGCUUCCGCUCAGCCCUGGCGAGAUGUCCUGUCCUGAGGUCUCUGCUCCCAGACUCCACCAUCUGGGGAGCACAGUCCUCAGGCUGCCUGGUCCAGGAAGGGGGCGCGAAGCUGUCAGGAAACCUGGACUCUCAAGGCCCACCAGCCUCUCCGUGAGUGUUAGAAAUCACAGAUACAGUAUAUACUUAAUUACACUAAAUUAUUGCUGGGAUUCCUCAUAAGCACUAAUUAUACCUGAUUAUAGGUUAAAAUAUUUAUUUUGUCAAAAUAUUUUCUUGGGAAUGUGUUUAACCCUUUCUGUGUUCAUUGUGUGCUGAGAUGUGAAAACUAGCCAUUCCCUCCUGCCUACCGUUUUGGCCAGUGGGCAGCAGAGAAUGGCGCCAUGUGCAGUUGGGCCCCCGGCACCGUGGGCCUUCGGCCCGCCUGCCACGGAGUGGCCCUGCCUGGGCAGCCUGCAGGCACUGAGCAGACCAACUGUGGCCAGGCUGAGAGAAUGACCGGCUCGCUUACCAGCGUGCAUGGGACAAGGGGCUUUGGAGCCUCAAGGGGUUGUUGGCCUGGGCUGGAGGGAAAGGUGACCAUCCAGCUUUCUGUCCUCCUGUCUUUCUGUUAGCGCCUCCACGUGAGUGAUGGUGCCUUGGUUCACUGGCCUUCCCCCACCUCCCCACCCUGCCACCUGGUGAUCUUGGGGCCUGUGCUGUCACUCCAGCCCCUGGGGAGGAGACGACCCAGCCGGGAGAGUUGGGGCAAGGGCUCUGCGUGGCCCAGGGGCAACAGAUGCUCGCAGGGCAGCUGCUGCCAAUGCUCACGCUCCUGCCCCCCUCCUUCCCACUGCCACACCCCAUCCUGGGUCCCCGCAGACACACAUCUCUAGCUCAGUCGGGCCCAGCCUUCUGGAUGGCUCAGGGUAGGCCAUGGGCCCACCUGGGGCCAGGCCAGCCCCUGCAGCUCUGGAAGAGCAGUGUGAAGGAGCGCUUGCUUGCAGCCUGGCCUCAGCCUCUGGCACUGCUGGGUGGCCCCCAGGAGCCUCUCCACUGUCGGCUGUGGGGACAUCUCAUCCAUUUGGGUUACAGCCAGCCUUCCCCACCCAGAGAGAAAUGUUUCCACCCCAGAGACAUUGCUUGUCAGCCCCUGAAGUGCUUGCCUCCCCCAGUGCCCGUCACCAGCCCUUCCUAUCUGUGGGGUCCAAGACAGGCUUCCCCUGCAGCCACCAGCUGCCGGGAGCAGCCAUCAGCCCCUGAGUCAGAACUGCUUCUGUCUGUCCAUACCUCCAGGCUCUCCCGGAGACGGGGACAGAUAUUUAUUUCCUAAAGUUUGCACUUAAUUGUGAGGAUUCUCAGGAUUGUUGGGGGCUACCUGAAAAAGAGGAAUGUGUUGAAUGUUGCAUUUGCUGUCCACUCGUCCUAGUAGUUUAGUGUUCUUGUCACUGUCAUGUGUUUCUGUGGGCAGAGCUGGUUCUGGAGGGUGGGUCAGUGCACCCGAGGCUCAGAGCAUCCAUCCACCCCACUGGCCCUCCUUCCAGAUACCCUCUCUCUAGUUGGGUUCUUGCAUGUAAAAUACUCCACAAUAAAUAAGCAAUUGAACAAAUU